UUGUGCCGGCCGGAUAAGUCUCUUGGGAAAUCCAGCAGCUCAACUGUUGGGCUUUCAGGAGAUACUGUCUGGCUCGAGGCCGGGAGAGGUGAGAGGUACUUCAGGGGUAGGGGUGAAAUCUUGUAAUCCUUGAAGGACCACCAGUGGCGAAGGCGUCUCACCAGAACGGACCUGACGGCAAGGGACGAAAGCUAGGGGCACGAACCGGAUUAGAUACCCGGGUAGUCCUAGCCGUAAACGAUACUCGCUAGGUGUCGGCCACGGUGCGACCGUUGUCGGUGCCGUAGGGAAGCCGUGAAGCGAGCCACCUGGGAAGUACGGCCGCAAGGCUGAAACUUAAAGGAAUUGGCGGGGGAGCACCACAACGGGUGGAGCUUGCGGUUUAAUUGGAUUCAACGCCGGAAAUCUUACCGGGACCGACAGCAAUAUGAAGGCCAGGCUGAAGACUUUGCCGGAUUAGCUGAGAGGUGGUGCAUGGCCGUCGUCAGUUCGUACUGUGGAAACAUA
rnacentral:rRNA from 1 species